GGGCGGUGCCUAUGGGAAGCGGUGCACAGAGACCCCCUGACCUCCCCCACCUAGGAGCCGCUGCCAGAGGGGUGUGCGGGUUGCUUUCGGGAGCCACCCGAGGUGCCUGGGAGGAGGAAGAGGCUGGACAGAAGGAAAGGAAGAGCAAAGAACAAACAGCCAGGGAGGGAAGGGAGGGAGAAAGCAAAGCAAGAAGAGGAUGAGGAAGGGAAGGCAGGAGGAGGUAGAGUUGAUGCUAUUAACAACAUACCAGCUGAACUCCAGUCCCUGCCGGUUCUGCACACUCGCUUGCUGCAGGUUGGGUUAGUCCUGGGCACUGGCACCAGAGUGGAACAGCAUCUGCCUGGAAUGUGCCCUCCCGCCCCUCACGCCUGCCGAGCCAUGGCAGGGUCAAGUACGAGCUCAAUGAGAUCGCACGGCAGACCUCUCGACUCACCCAGCUGGGGCUAUGGAAGCCUCUUCCAGGAAUCCUGCAUGGUUUCCCAGCCCGAAAAACAAGCCGAGAACGAUAACAACAACAAGCCCCAGGAGCCCAGAUAACUGCUCCCCUGCCCUCUCUCACUGCAAAACGCCUCUCCUUCCCCUCCUUCUGCCUCUUGCUUGGAAGUAGCACAGCAAAUCCUCAGCCGGCUGCCCUUGCUGGGUUCAGCUGCUGUGCUGUUGGCGUGUAUCUGACAGCAUGACAGUCCUGUGUGUGUGUGUGUGUGUGUGUGUGUGUGUGUGUGUGUGUGUAUCUCCCAGCCCCAGAGGCAGUGCCUGCAAAAGAUCCAGUGGUGAUAGCAAUGUGGAUUUAGAGAGCCAGUCAGAGCAUGUGUGUGUGUGUGUGUGUGGUUGUGUGUGUGUGUGCAGCUCCCCACCUCUGCUGCUGGCUCAGUCCAUUUCUGAACAAGAGGAGAAUUAACCAGCAUCAUGACGAAGCAGUAUUUGUGAGAGGUGGCGGCUCUCCAUCUUGCUCUCUCUCCCUCCCUCUGUUAAUUUUUGUUGUUGCAAAAUAAAAUGAAAUAAAUCAAUACAUGUCACC